GCGUUGUUCGGAUUUACUGGGCGUAAAGGGCGCGUAGGCGGUGCGGUAAGUCACUUGUGAAAUCUCCGAGCUUAACUCGGAACGGCCAAGUGAUACUGCAGUACUAGAGUGCGGAAGGGGCAAUCGGAAUUCUUGGUGUAGCGGUGAAAUGCGUAGAUAUCAAGAGGAACACCUGAGGUGAAGACGGGUUGCUGGGCCGACACUGACGCUGAUGCGCGAAAGCCAG
rnacentral:rRNA from 1 species